rnacentral:lncRNA from 1 species
AUGGACACGCCGGUACCAGAGCACGUUGCCUUUGCCAUCGAGCUCCUCGUCCAGAAUGCAGCCGAUCUCCCCGGCAGCCCCGGGCUCCACGAAGAGGAUGGGCUGGGGCUGCUGCAGCACCAGCAGUGCUGCCGGCGCUGCAGGGACCGACCGGGGGCUCAUUCACCGCCUGCCCCCCAAGCCCAGCCCGUGCUCCCACCACCCAGGGCGUACUUGGAAAGCGAGAGGACCCCCUAUGCCCAGCCCCUGCCCCGAUGCUCACCCAGACAGAGCAGCAGCAGCCCCGUGGCCAGCAGCGCCUUCGCGCAGGAGAAACCCAGGGGUGCCAUCGUCGCGCUCGUCCCAGGCCUUCUGCAGGGCGGCCGAGUGCACCGGGACCUGAGGCUGCCCGAAGUGCGGGGCCCCGGCAGCGAAGCCCCCCAGCCGUGUGGACACGGUGUCCCCACGAAGGACACGGUGUCCCCACGAAGGACGCGGUGUCCCCACGAGGGAUGCGUCCUCCCCACACGCCGCUGCCGGCAGCUGUGGGGCGAGUCGCUGGGUGCAGAGCUCAUGUCAGCUUGCUGGCACGGACCCACAUCCGGUAGGAAAAUUUGGGUUUUAACCAUUUCUGUGAUGCUCAGGGUCGGAGGCGGCCCCUCAGAGGCCCCGCGACGCCCUCUGAUGCCCACACCCAAAUACUCGACACGAAGGAAGAAGCCAGCCCCAGCGCUGGGCACUACAAACCACAGCGCACCGUGCCGCCGCUCGUGCUUUGGGGAAACCGCAGCGCAGGGGCUGGAGAGCUGCCUCGGGGCGGGGGUGGCUGCACCCCCAGCCCCGGCCCCCGCAGCCAUCCUCACAUCAGCCAAAGUGACCUUAACGGUGACGUUCAAAGGGCCGGGGACUGAAGGCGAGAGGCAACUUUGGUCCCCAUCCCCCUGCCCUGCUUUCCUGUUGCGGUUCGGCAAACGUGGCUCUUUGCUAAAGGGGCGCCGAACUUUGGCGACAAAAACCUUCAAACCCAACGGUUUGCUGGCAGCGGAGUGGGGGGGCAGGGGUUCUGUGCGAAUAAACAGCAGAGAAGUGACAAAAUCAACAAGGCGAGGCUGA